GGUUCAAUUUGAUUCGAUUUUUUAUAUAUUUUGAUUUGAUUUUUAAAAUAUAAUAAUUCGACUAAUUCAAUUUUGACGAUUUAAUUCAAUUUAGUUCAAUUUAAAUCGAAUACUCAACCCUACAAAUAGCUACAUCACAAGGAGACAACCCUGUUUCAACUACGGUCAUAUGCGAAGGAAAUAAUAGACAAUAAGACUAAGCCUAAAUUGGCUUGAUUCAACAACCAAAGGCAUAACACUCAAUAUGGCAGUCAGAUUAUCCCUCAAUUCCCCCAACCUACUGGCGAAAAAGGAAGACAAUGAGACUGGACGCUCUUCCACUAAGGGAAGCUUCCAUGUAAAAGCAGGUUCAGCUUUCCACCAGCAGCUAAGUUUUGCCAAAGGACAUUGAACUGAUUUGCCAUUUGCUGGUGCAAAGAAUGGGAAAAUCCUUUUCCUUUUUCCCAGCAUUCCUUCUUUCCUUCCACGACUGUACAGUGAGCAUUGGUCAGUGUUGAAGGUUCUAAAUUUCGCUUUUCAAUCACUUCCAAGUAAAUUGGAACCCUUUUAUGAACUUUUACUGAUGAUGAAUUGUGUCAUGGACUGGGAGUUUAUCAACACCAAACUUCUACGGGAGUCUAUAUUUAUGGGGUUACAAUUGUCAUGGGAAAUCAAUAAAAUACAAUUUUCUAUAGAUCAUAAAAGAAAAUCAAAGCCAAAAUGAACAAUCAUGUGCAAGAACCUGAUGAUUUUUAGUAGCUUACAAGUAAUUUGAUAAUUUUGAUUUUGAAAGGCUGGUUACCUGGGACUAACUGAAGUCUCGUCUGGAUGAAAAUCCAAGGCAGACAAGGACUGGAGAAUGAUUCUGAGGCUAGCAAAACACACUUGACAAUGCUGACUAUCGAUUAUUUGUUAUCUUAGUAAGGAAGCUGGAGAAUUGAUCCCUGUUUUGGAGACCCAUGUGGCACAGGGGUGAUUGUUCCAGCUCACCCGGUCCAUGUGUAGCAAGUCCUUCAACCUUAGAAUAACCUCAUUUCAAUGCACAAGUGCUUUGCCCUCUUAUCUCCAAGCCAACAGUCCUUAGUCAUAUGCUGAUUCAGGACUUGAAUCUUUAAGGCAACAGUCCUCACCGAAUAUGAAACCAGAUAUAUUUAUAUGAUGUGCAGGUUUCACAUACUCCAAAAUUUGUCAAUUAGAAAUAUGUGUUUCUUUUUUGACCAAAUGUGGAUAUGAAAGGCUCUUAGACUUCUGCUGAGCCUUUGACAAAAUCUUCAUCCAUCCUUUUGAUUGCACUUGAUCUAGGAUCUCCAGAGCUACACAUUACAUUGACACCCUUUCAUUAUCAUGAACCUCAGUAAUGAGACAAAUCCAAGUAUCUACUUUUCUGAAGUAAGCCCAUUUUCUAGCAUCUCAUCUCUCAGCUUGAGUGCAACUGAUAUCUUUACUUACCUACAAAGGUCAGUAAUCAAGGAUCCAUAGGAUAAACUAUCUGGUUUCAGUCUCUUGUUAUACAUAUCCCCAGGCAAUUGACUUAUCAGGGAAUUAUUGUGUACUGUAAUGCCACGAUGCACUAGGAAGAAAUCAAAAGUUCCUAAGAUUAAAAAUUUGGAGCGCAUCUCCUGUUAACCCAUUCUUGCCAAGUCUGUCCAAUACCAUGUUAAAAGUGAUUAUAGUUGGACUAGGCCCACUUUGUAUCAUAGUUUCCAAUAGCUUUACACACAUUGAAAAUUUCCUAACUGUGCAGAAAUAUUGGACCAGACAAGUCAAACUAACAACAUCACACUUAAUACCUUCA
rnacentral:misc_RNA from 1 species